rnacentral:rRNA from 1 species
GACGAACGCUGGCGGCGUGCUUAACACAUGCAAGUCGAACGGAAAGGCCCUGCUUUUGUGGGGUGCUCGAGUGGCGAACGGGUGAGUAACACGUGAGUAACCUGCCCUUGACUUUGGGAUAACUUCAGGAAACUGGGGCUAAUACCGGAUAGGAGCUCCUGCUGCAUGGUGGGGGUUGGAAAGUUUCGGCGGUUGGGGAUGGACGCGCGGCUUAUCAGCUUGUUGGUGGGGUAGUGGCUUACCAAGGCUUUGACGGGUAGCCGGCCUGAGAGGGUGACCGGCCGCAUUGGGACUGAGAUACGGCCCAGACUCCUACGGGAGGCAGCAGUGGGGAAUAUUGCACAAUGGGCGGAAGCCUGAUGCAGCAACGCCGCGUGCGGGAUGACGGCCUUCGGGUUGUAAACCGCUUUCGCCUGUGACGAAGCGUGAGUGACGGUAAUGGGUAAAGAAGCACCGGCUAACUACGUG